rnacentral:rRNA from 1 species
UUGGAGGGCAAGUCUGGUGCCAGCAGCCGCGGUAAUUCCAGCUCCAAUAGCGUAUAUUAAAGUUGUUGCAGUUAAAAAGCUCGUAGUUGAACCUCGGGAUCAAUGGAUCGGUCAUGCCAUCGGUAUGUACUGGUCUCAUUGGUUCUCACCUUCUAAGGAACCAUGAUGUCAUUAAUUUGAUGUUGUGGGGAAUUAGGACUGUUACCUUGAAAAAAUUAGAGUGUUUAAAGCAGGCUAACGCUUGAAUACAUUAGCAUGGAAUAAUGAAAUAGGACAUCGCAUUCUAUUUUGUUGGUUUCUAGGAUCGAUGUAAUGAUUAAUAGGGAUAGUUGGGGGCAUUAGUAUUCAAUUGUCAGAGGUGAAAUUCUUGGAUUUAUUGAAGACUAACUACUGCGAAAGCAUUUGCCAAGGAUGUUUUCAUUAAUCAAGAACGAAAGUUAGGGGAUCGAAGACGAUCAGAUACCGUCGUAGUCUUAACCAUAAACUAUGCCGACUAGGGAUCGGAUAUUGUUGAUUUUUUAAUGACUCAUUCGGCACCUUACGGGAAAC